UACGGAGGGUGCAAGCAUUAAUCGGAUUUAUUGGGCGUAAAGGGCGCGUAGGCGGAAAUGUAAGUCAGAUGUGAAAUACCGAGGCUCAACCUCGGAACCGCAUUUGAAACUAUUUUUCUAGAGGGUAGGCGGAGAAAACGGAAUUCCACAAGUAGCGGUGAAAUGCGUAGAUAUGUGGAAGAACACCUGUGGCGAAGGCGGUUUUCUAGCUUACUCCUGACGCUAAGGCGCGAAAAGCUAGGGGAGCAAACAGG
rnacentral:rRNA from 1 species